UACAGAGACUGCAAGCGUUAUUCGGAUUCACUGGGCGUAAAGGGUGCGCAGGCGGUUGGGUGUGUCAGAUGUGAAAUCCCGAGGCUUAACCUCGGAACUGCGUCUGAAACUACUCGACUAGUGUAUUGGAGAGGGUAACGGAAUUCACGGUGUAGCAGUGAAAUGCGUAGAUAUCGUGAGGAACACCAGAGGCGAAGGCGGUUACCUGGACAAUUACUGACGCUCAGGCACGAAAGCAUGGGGAGCAAAAGGG
rnacentral:rRNA from 1 species